UUUAUUGGGAGAAUGAAAGGUAGAUUUAUAUUUAUUCAUAAGAAAAAAAAAAUCAGCCGAGUUUCGGUGCUUGGAAGUAUUUGCGACUUGCGAUCUAGGAAAUUACGAGCUCCGGGAGAGUCCUUGAAGUUAACGUUAGCUGUUGUGCAACGUCACAAAAGUGCAACGUCACAAAGGUGGGCGGUAACUGUCAUGUUAAACUAUAGUUGUCUGUUUAGGAAGAGACACUUUGCUGUAGGAAGUUCACCACAAAGGGUGAAGAAUGGCUUUGCACAGGCUGAUGGUUUAUUUGUCGACGGCGGGCUCGUUUUGCUUCAUGAUGGGAAUCAAUGUCAUGCUGUUUGUUUUGCAUUUCAUUUCACCAAGACUCACCAAGAAGAUCAUUCUCAAAAUGGGUGAACGCGUCACGAUGACGCAGAAUCCCAAAUUCAAGUAUGAAGACUGGGGUCUCACGUUUGCCUCUUUUGAUUUCGUGAAAACCGCCUCGCACCACAUGUGGUUGUCCCUCGGACAGGACGCCUUUGUGGGGAGGGAAGCUCCGGACACACUGGUGGUCAGCAUGGAUGGAAAAAAAACAAGCAUCUGCAAGUACUUAAAAGGCAACAGACCGCUGGUGCUGAGUUUUGGCAGCUGCACCUGACCCCCGUUCAUCUACAAACUUGAUGAGUUCAAGCAACUCGUCAAGGACUUCGGUGACGUAGCUGACUUUCUGGUGGUCUACAUUGCCGAGGCGCAUUCAACAGCCUCCAGAGUCGCAGUGAAGUCACGUUCUCCAUUCCUCUGUCAGAUGGCUGGGCCUUUGCCAACAACUUCGACAUCAACCAGCACAAGACCCUGGAGGAGAGGCUGUCUGCAGCACAGAUCCUGGUGGAGAAGGAGCCCCUGUGCCCGGUGGUGGUGGACGACAUGAGCAACGUGUCCGCCAUAAAGUACGGCGCCCUCCCCGAGAGGCUUUACGUGCUGCAGGCCGGGAAGGUGGCCUACAAGGGCACCAAUGGGCCUUGGGGUUACAAUCCGAUGGAGGUGCGUACUUUCCUGGAGAAGAAUGAAUAAGGUUGUUUGUCUAUUUGGCAUGUGACCAGUUUCAUCUGUAGGGGGGGGUCUCUGUUCAGCAGGCGUCAACCUCAUAAUCAUAACAUAUGUAAAACAAUACCUUUCUUAUAUCAAUACUUAAAUCAGUUAACUGCUAUAUCUAUUUGUCUGCUCUUAACUGUAAAUAUACUGUUCAAACUUGCACUAAUGGAGCUUCUGGGCCUAUUUUGUACUUUUUGUACGGAAAACGCGGCCAUACUUGUCACUCUCCGAGUUUGGACUCUCCUCUCAAUCUUUCCGAGUGACGGCUGCAGAUUAAACCGUCGGCCUCUGUAGCCAGAUGAAGUGAAAGAGGGAGACAGUCCGGUCACGAGUUUGUGACGGCCCACAUUCGGAGGACAUUUGUCACCUAAAUUGUCUUGAAUUUCUCUAGUCUUAAAAGACUACUAUUUGAAGUCAAUGAACACACCUCCACCUCUCAUGCAAGUUCAGUUAUUAUGUUUAGCUUUAACUGCAUUUACUAAGGUUUUCUGUUUUAAAACGAGUGCUCCAACAUGAGUUCACCAAAGGAUGUUUUUUUGUAUGAUGAUUACAGUGCAAACCUCUAGGAAACUGUAAUCUGAUGGAUGACUUGAAAAACAGCCUUCUCUGAAUUAUGUAGCAGCAUUUAGGAUGACAUGUAUUUUCAUUAAGGUACAAUAAAGAGUAACCCGGGCAAAAAACAAAAAAACAAAACCUCCUGAAUAAAAUUCUCAAUUGCAUACGAGUCUAA